UGGGGGAUAUUGCACAAUGGGCGAAAGCCUCAUGCAGCGACGCCGCGUGGGGGAUGAAGGCCUUCGGGUUGUAAACUUCUUUUGCUCUGAACAAGGCGCACCAUGGGGUGUGUUGAGUGUAGGGGUUGAUUAGCGCCGGCUAACUACGUGCCAGCAGCCGCGGUAAUACGUAGGGCGCGAGCGUUGUCCGGAAUUAUUGGGCGUAAAGGGCUUGUAGGUGGCUGGUUGCGUCUGUCGUGAAAGCUCAUGGCUUAACUGUGGGUUUGCGGUGGGUACGGGCUGGCUUGAGUGCAGUAGGGGAGGCUGGAAUUCCUGGUGUAGCGGUGGAAUGCGCAGAUAUCAGGAGGAAUACCGGUGGCGAAGGCGGGUCUCUGGGCUGUUACUGACACUGAGGAGCGAAAGCAUGGGGAGCGAACAGG
rnacentral:rRNA from 1 species